rnacentral:rRNA from 1 species
GUUUAAUUUUUAAAAUUAUUAAAAAUAUUUAUAAAGUUUAUUGUUUUAGUUAAUUUUUAAAAUAAUAAGAUUAAUUAUAGUUUAUUAGUAAUGUAAAUGAAAAUUUAAAUAAUUUGAAAAAUUUUUUAGUAUAAAAGAAAAAUUAAUUUUUUGUACCUUGGGUAUCAGGGUUUAUUAAAUGAGAAUUAUUUAUUUAAUUUUCUCGAUUUAAAAAGAUUUAAUAUAUUAAUAAAAUAAAUGUUUUAAAAUUUUUUUAUAUAAUAUAUUUGAAAUUAAACGUUAUUCGAUUUUUAAGGUAUCUAGUUUUUUAAGAUAUAAAUUUAAUUUAGAAAUUUUAUAUUAUUUAAUUUAAUUUUAAAUAAAAUAAUUAUUUAAUUUUUAUAUUAUAUGGGAUAAGCUAUAUAAUACUUUUUUAUAAAAUAAUGAAUAAUUUAAUAAAUAUAAAUUUAGAAAUGAUUAUUAUUAAUAAAAUUGUUAUAAUUUAUUUUUAAUAAAUAAUUAUUUAUUUAAUUUUAAUUGAUUAUUAAAAUAUUUAUUUUAAUAUAAAAAAUAAAAUAAAAAUGAUAAAAUUAGUAUUUUAUUAUAUAUAUAUAUAUAAAUUAAUUUAAUUUAAAAGUUUUUAUAAAUAAUUAGGCAAAAAGAAUAUUCACCUGUUUAACAAAAACAUGUCUUUUUUGAAUUUUUUAUAAAGUCUAACCUGCCCACUGAAUAAUUUUUUAAAUGGCCGCAGUAUUUUAACUGUGCAAAGGUAGCAUAAUAAUUAGUCUUUUAAUUGAAGGCUAGAAUGAAUGGUUGGAUGAAAUAUUAACUGUUUCGUAAAUAAUUUAAAAAGAAUUUUAUUUUUUUAUAAAAAAGUAAAAAUUUAUUUAAAAGACGAGAAGACCCUAUAAAUCUUUAUAUUUUAAUUAUUAAAUUAUUUAAAUUUUUUUAUAUAUUUAUAAAUUAAUAUAUUUUAUUGGGGUGAUAUUGAAAUUUUAUAAACUUUUAAUUAAUUAUAUCAAUAAUUUUUGAAUGAUUGAUCUAUUAUUAAUGAUUAAUAAAAUAAGUUACUUUAGGGAUAACAGCGUAAUUUUUUUGGAGAGUUCUUAUUAAUAAGAAAGAUUGCGACCUCGAUGUUGGAUUAAGAUAUAAAUUUAGGUGUAGUUGUUUAAAAUUUAAGUCUGUUCGACUUUUAAAAUCUUACAUGAUCUGAGUUCAAACCGGCGUAAGCCAGGUUGGUUUCUAUCUUUAAAAAUUUGAAAUAUUUUAGUACGAAAGGAUUAAAUAUUAAAUAUAAAUAUUUUUUUAUAGAAUCUUAUUAAUUU